rnacentral:rRNA from 1 species
ACACAUGCAAGUCGAACGGCAGCAUGAUCUAGCUUGCUAGAUUGAUGGCGAGUGGCGAACGGGUGAGUAAUACAUCGGAACGUGCCCUGUAGUAGGGGGAUAACUAGUCGAAAGAUUAGCUAAUACCGCAUACGACCUGAGGGUGAAAGUGGGGGACCGCAAGGCCUCAUGCUAUAGGAGCGGCCGUAUGUCUGAUUAGCUAGUUGGUGGGGUAAAGGCCCACCAAGGCGACGAUCAGUAGCUGGUCUGAGAGGACGAUCAGCCACACUGGGACUGAGACACGGCCCAGACUCCUACGGGAGGCAGCAGUGGGGAAUUUUGGACAAUGGGCGAAAGCCUGAU